AUUGAACGCUGGCGGCAGGCCUAACACAUGCAAGUCGAGCGGAUGAAGGGAGCUUGCUCCUGGAUUCAGCGGCGGACGGGUGAGUAAUGCCUAGGAAUCUGCCUGGUAGUGGGGGAUAACGUCCGGAAACGGGCGCUAAUACCGCAUACGUCCUGAGGGAGAAAGUGGGGGAUCUUCGGACCUCACGCUAUCAGAUGAGCCUAGGUCGGAUUAGCUAGUUGGUGGGGUAAAGGCCUACCAAGGCGACGAUCCGUAACUGGUCUGAGAGGAUGAUCAGUCACACUGGAACUGAGACACGGUCCAGGCUCCUACGGGAGGCAGCAGUGGGGAAUAUUGGGCAAUGGGCGAAAGCCUGAUCCAGCCAUGCCGCGUGUGUGAAGAAGGUCUUCGGAUUGUAAAGCACUUUAAGUUGGGAGGAAGGGCAGUAAGUUAAUACCUUGCUGUUUUGACGUUACCAACAGAAUAAGCACCGGCUAACUUCGUG
rnacentral:rRNA from 1 species